AACGAACGCUGGCGGCAGGCUUAACACAUGCAAGUCGAGCGGCCCGCCAGGGGUUCGGCUGACGGGUGAGUAAAGCGUGGGAACGUACCCUUAUCUACGGGAUAGCUCCGGGACACUGGAAUUAAUACCGAAUGUGCCCUACGGGGGCAAGUUUUGUCGACUAAGGGUCGGUGGGCGCUGGGUUAGCUGGUUGGUGGGGUGAAGGCGUGCCAAGGCGAGGGUCCAUAGCGGGUCUGGGUGGAUGAGCAGCCACAUUGGGCCUGAGACACGGCCCCAGCUGCUACGGGAGGCAGCAGUGGGGAAUAUUGGACAAUGGGCGCAAGCCUGAGCCAGCCGUGCCGCGUGAGUUAUGAAGGCCUUAGGGUUGUAAAGCUCUUUCGCCGGAGAAGAUAGUGACGGUAUCCGGAGAAGAAGCCCCGGCUAACUUCGUG
rnacentral:rRNA from 1 species